rnacentral:rRNA from 1 species
AUGGCCCCGGCGGCGGAGAUGGCCUCGGCGGAGCUUGACGCCGGGAGUGCCUUGGAGAGGGGGAGCCGCUGCCCAGAGGGAGAGCGCGUUGUUGAGGGGAGGAAUUCGGGGAACCACAUCUCACUACUGGAUGUGGACGACCUCAAACGAAGAUGGCUUGCCAUUACAGAGAAAGCGGGGAAGGGAAGAGUGGUGCUUCGGCGACCGCAAAAAGCUGUAGUUGGUAAGAUGGAUCCGAUGGUGGCGGAUCUGAAGAACAUGGCGUGGGAGAUCAUUGAAGGCGGGAUGGGGAAUCGAAGGAAAGAGGAAAGCAGAUCCCCGGAGAAGGAAGAUCAAGGAGAGCCACCAGUGCAGAAGAUCCAGGCCAUCCCUGUGAUUGCAGGACAGGCCUGUGCGCCGGAAAGGGAGCUCCACGACCAGAAGAGGAAACCAACAGAGGUGUGGUGCACCUGCACGGGGAAGCUUUGGAGCUGGUCGAGAGCGUCAUGUUAUGCUGUACUUAGGCUUACCUAA